rnacentral:rRNA from 1 species
CCUACGGGUGGCAGCAGUGAGGAAUAUUGGUCAAUGGGCGGGAGCCUGAACCAGCCAAGCCGCGUGAGGGAAGAAGGUACAGCGUAUCGUAAACCUCUUUUGUCAGGGCACAAAGGCGGGGACUAGUCCCCGGAUGAGGGUACCUGACGAAAAAGCAUCGGCUAACUCCGUGCCAGCAGCCGCGGUAAUACUGAGGCUGCGAGCGUUAUCCGGAUUUAUUGGGUUGAAAGGGUGCGCAGGCGGCCUGUUAAGUCAGCGGGAAAAGCCCGGGGCUCAACCCCGGCGAGCCGUUGAAACUGGCGGGCUGGAGUUGGAGAGAAGUACGCGGAAUGCGCGGUGUAGCGGUGAAAUGCUUAGAUAUCGCGCAGAACCCCGAUUGCGAAGGCAGCGUACCGGCUCCACACUGACGCUGAGGCACGAAAGCGUGGGUAUCGAACAGGAUUAGAUACCCGGGUAGUC